UUUCCGUAGGUGAACCUGCGGAAGGAUCAUUACAGUAGUCGCCUGGGUUGCCGCAAGGCCUCCCGGGUAACCUACCACCCUUUGUUUAUUACACUUUGUUGCUUUGGCAGGCCUGCCCUCGGGCUGCUGGCUCCGGCCGGCGAGCGCUUGCCAGAGGACCUAAACUCUGUUUGUCUAUACUGUCUGAGUACUAUAUAAUAGUUAAAACUUUCAACAACGGAUCUCUUGGUUCUC
rnacentral:misc_RNA from 1 species